GGAGGCAUAGCUCAGUGGUAGAGCAUCUGCUUUGCAUGCAGAAGGUUCAAUCUCUGGUGUCUCCA